CUGGUGGGAAGAGCGCAUUUAUUAGACCAAGACCAAUCAGGCCCUGCCUGUGAUUUGGUGACUCUGAAUAACUUUGCUGAUCACAUGGUCCUAGUACUGGUGACAUAUCUUUCAAGUGUCUGCCCUAUCAACUUUCGAUGGUAGUUUAUGUGCCUACCAUGGUUGUAACGGGUAACGGAGAAUAAGGGUUCGACUCCGGAGAGGGAGCCUGAGAAAUGGCUACCACAUCCAAGGAAGGCAGCAGGCGCGCAAAUUACCCACUCUCAGCUCGAGGAGGUAGUGAAGAAAAAUAACGAGACGGUUCUCUAUGAGGCCCGUCAUCGGAAUGGGUACAAUUUAAACCCUUUAAUGAGGAUCUAUUGGAGGGCAAGUCUGGUGCCAGCAGCCGCGGUAAUUCCAGCUCCAGUAGCGUAUGCCAACCUUGUUGCUGUUAAAAAGCUCGUAGUUGGAUCUUUUCCGAGGAUGGAGUCUGUCCAAUGGAUACGUACUCUAUUCCAAGGAUACUUCAGUUGGUCUUCUCAUGGUGCUCUUCACUGGGUGCCUUGGGUGGCUAGCACGUUUACUUUGAAAAAAUUAGAGUGCUCAAGACAGGCGUUACUGCCCGAAUAGUGGUGCAUGGAAUAAUAGAAUAGGAUCUCGGUUCUAUUUUGUUGGUUUUAGGAGCGUGAGAUAAUGGUUAAUAGGGACAGACGGGGGCAUUCGUAUUGUGGUGUUAGA
rnacentral:rRNA from 1 species